rnacentral:sRNA from 1 species
UGCGGUAUGACGCUGUGCAUCUGGGUUGC